UCCCAUCAGAUAGGCGCAAAGGAAGAAGGCAUUCUCAGACUCUUCGGACUUGGAGAUCGGCGAUGCUAUAGUAGUAACCAAGGCAACGCAUGUCGGAGUGAACGCACACACAUCCAACGUGGCGGGCCCACCGAUUCUUUGGGAUCACGUGCUCUUGCAGUACGGCCGUCCCGUGCCCCCUCGAGAGAUGACCUCAGCGAUGGUCAUGCCUCCCCACUGCAAGACCGAAACCAGAACUGAGCCCAAGAAACUCGCAGAACACUACCACAUAUUUGUAGGCGACCUGAGCCCGGAAAUUGAAACGCAACAACUCAGAGAAGCCUUCGCGCCAUUUGGGGAGAUUUCCCGUAUCUCCAGGCCUUUAAAAAGCAAAGUACGAGAAAUAUAGAACUGGAGACAAUAUAGAACUGGAGCAAUGAUCUGAGCUUUACGAAUCGAGCUACAAUACCAAAAAUAAUAAAUCCAAAUUCUCAGAUGAAAUUUUUCACAUAUCUAUUCCAUAAUUUGAAAUAUUGUUACAUUUAUUUUAAUUAUAUUUAUUUUGAACGUGUUGUGUUUAAUACAAUGUUCACAAUCUUAAUAAUUUUCUUAUAUUUAUUUUGUUUAUAUUUUACUGCUAUUUUCAAAUAUAUUUUUAAGUCUUUUAAAUAUAUUCUCAAAUAUAUUUUAUUUUUAU